rnacentral:misc_RNA from 1 species
CCUCAAAGUAUGAAAUACCUCACUGCAUUGGAGACUCUUCAUAUCGAGGAUUGUGUAAACCUCAAAUUGACGAUGGAGGAAGGGAAAGGUGACCAAGACUUGGCUCGAUUCAGCCUUCAAAGGCUGAUACUCAUAAAGCUCAUAAAGUUACCAGAAUUGGUAGAGUUUCCAGAAUGGCUUCUUCGAGGAUCCACCAACACUCUGCAACUCUUAAAACUAGAAAGGUGUAGAAACCUCAAAGAAUUGCCUGCAUGCCUACAGAAUAUAGUAUCUCUUCAACAAAUUGUGAUUGAGGAUUGUGAUGAAUUGAGCGAAAGAUGUGAACGUGGAAAAGGUGAAGAUUGGUCCAAGAUUGCUCAUAUCCCUAAAAUUGUUCUUGACGGUUCUGAGAUCAAUUCAACAGAUGAUUCU